rnacentral:rRNA from 1 species
AAUUUGAAAUCUGGCACUUUCAGUGUCCGAGUUGUAAUUUGAAGAAGGUAUCUUUGGGUCUGGCUCUUGUCUAUGUUUCUUGGAACAGAACGUCACAGAGGGUGAGAAUCCCGUGCGAUGAGAUGUCCCAGACCUAUGUAAAGUUCCUUCGAAGAGUCGAGUUGUUUGGGAAUGCAGCUCUAAGUGGGUGGUAAAUUCCAUCUAAAGCUAAAUAUUGGCGAGAGACCGAUAGCGAACAAGUACAGUGAUGGAAAGAUGAAAAGAACUUUGAAAAGAGAGUGAAAAAGUACGUGAAAUUGUUGAAAGGGAAGGGCUUGAGAUCAGACUUGGUAUUUUGUAUGUUACUCUCUCGGGGGUGGCCUCUACAGUUUACCGGGCCAGCAUCAGUUUGAGCGGUAGGAUAAGUGCAAAGAAAUGUGGCACUGCUUCGGUAGUGUGUUAUAGUCUUUGUCGAUACUGCCAGCUUAGACUGAGGACUGCGGCUUCGGCCUAGGAUGUUGGCAUAAUGAUCUUAAGUCGCCCG